UAAGACAUUUAGCAAAUGUAAGAGGUUCAAUAUAAGUGUGAGGUAGAAACGCGAAAGUCGCCAAUUCCAGUAUACUGUACUGAUACUGUACUGGUUAUAAGUUAUAAUAACAACAACAGCGGCAACAACAACAACAACAACAGCAACAACAGGGGUCUGUAACGCAAUGACUAACACCAAUGUGGGAUAUAUGCAAAAGCCAGCUAUAAGAAUGCUUCUCUAUGUGAAAAUGUUUAUUUAGCUAAUUAAUCUAAGGCAUAUUACGAUAUAUAUUUCAGUAGCCCCAUUGCAUGAAAGAUGAUCUCCAGUCCGUGCUGCGCACUCUCGAGGGUUUGUUUACGUUUUUUGUUUUGUCUUAUGUAAGACAUAACAAAAUGUGAACAUUUCGCAACUACCUUACAUGAAUUAAAUUCGAAGUUUCAUGUUAACCGCCAUUAUGGACGGGAAGCUUUAUCUUUCGUUCUUCCUCAUAUCAUGACUUGAUGAAACAACUUCGCAGCUGUAAAAAUCAAUGAAGCUGUUGGAAAAAAAUUGAAACGUAAAGUAGGUGGCUCGUAACGAAUAACAUCGAUUCACAUUUCCUCGGGUGAUACUUUUUGUGUUUGUAAACAUUAGGGUGCUGAGACUGCGCAAUACGGAUUGCAAAGCAUCUCAAAGCAUUACUAUUAUCUAAUUUACUGUUAAGACUGUAAAGAUCUUAGACACUUAAAAUAACAUUUAGUAGAUAGUUUAAUUGUUCAAUUAAAAGGCUUUUCUUAAUAAAGGUUGCUUUUGAAAACUAA